rnacentral:lncRNA from 1 species
AUAUUUAAUGGACCUCAUAUGGGAUUUCGAGCACAGGCGAAGGGACGUAACUCAAUACUGAAAAUUACGACGUCACUAGUUGUCAUUGUCCACUAUCCUAAGUGAUAUGAAUUUACUAAAUAUUACAGGAAUGAAAGAGGCGAAGCGGAAAUAGUUCAGGCUGAAGUCUCCAAUAAUUCAAAUUUCACCACGAGCAUUAUAAUAUAAUGAUGGACACCUUUCACAACAACUACAAAUAAAAAAAAGAGAAAAUUAUAACCUAGGGUGCAAAUCUUAAGCUCAUCUAUGGCUGUCGUGUCUUUGUGAUCAACAUUAGAGAAAUAAAAACGAACAAUGCGAAUAGAAUACAAUCUGCAAUUGACUUUCAGUGCAGAAUGGUGUUAGAAUAAUUGUUAUUUUCAAAUAUGAGUGGAUAACGAGAACGUCACUAGGAAACGUCGUAUGUCCCGUCAUUUAUUUUAGUUCCCUUAUCGAAGGAUUUUAUUCUUUGAAGGUUAUUAGAAUUUUGCUGGAUUCUCAGUAAUUGUUAAUAAUUAGUAUGAAAUAAGAAUGUAAAGUAUAUUUAAUGCCAAAGAUUAAAAGUUAAAACAUAAUGAUUAGGCACCACGGUACACUGCGAUUGUCAAACCGAUAUUUCUGAGUUGUAUGAAAGUUCGCUAUAUUCCAGCGAAUAAACAUUAUUUUUACUGUCAAAACCGAAAGUAUUCAAUAAUCAUAGUGAAAAAAAAAAUGAGAAGACCCCACGGUGUCCGACAUAGCCAGAAAAGUAAUUGUCAUAUAAAUCUCAGCUUACACCGGGUACUUGGCUAUAGGUCCUACGAAUUACACCCAACACCGGUUACCGGCUUAUCUAUCUUGUUGUUAAGACACAAAAUUCAGAGUUUAUGAAACCAUGUGUUUCUAUUUUAUCUCUGGUGUGCAUUUUAACCACUGCACAAAGCAGUGUCUUCUUAAAACCCUUUCGGUUUCCCUGUGAUCCUCACGAGGACGAGACGAUUAUAAGAGAGUUAUGUUGUUAAUAAUGUAAAGUUCCCAAACUCGCUCCAUCAAACCUUCUUCCUCUGUGAAUGUGAACAUUUUGCCUAUCAAAUAAUUAAUUAUACAAAAGUCAUCUGAGAAGAGAGUCUUUUUCUGUGAAUACAGUUUAAUGAACAUAACAAGUAGGCCUUAGUCAACAUGACUAACUAAAGUAAGGACUUGAAAUUGGUAAAAUUCAUCACAGUCAUCAAAUUACCAAUUAAAGCAGUAUCCUGUAAACCUAGCUCUCUCCUUUGCUGGUUUUUAACAACCCACACCUUUCCCUUUCUAGUUGAGAACAUUGAUCCAGGCCAUCACACUACUCACAAACAUCAUCAUCAUCGUCAUCGUUUAACGCCCGCUUUCCUUUUUCUACAUAUAUACAUAAUUGCUUCAGCAACAACAAAAACCCAUCUAUCUCUUAACAUUGAUAUUAGCAUAGCUUUCACUCGCUUGAAACCAAGUGCCUACAACCUGGAAUUCUUGUUCAGAUCAUCAAUAACACAUUUACAAUCUAGUUUCCGAAUGAUAUACUACAAAGAUCCAUUUCCUCAUCCAUUGUUUUUACCAUAUACCUACCCAAUGUUCUCAUUCGGGACUUCCAAUCUCUCUACAAUAAACUACAUUUUACACAUGUAGACCAUUUGCUCUUGUGUAAACAGUAAAAAUGAAAGCUCAUCAGAAUAUUCAAAGGACACCGUUUCUUUGUACUGCAACUUCCAAACCUCACCGUCCCCACCAUGCAUUAAUAUCCAGAUGUGUUUAUAAGAUAGCAGAAGAUUGCUUCAACACUCUCAUACAAAUGCUCUCUUUUCCAUUCAGUUCAGAAACAUUAAAAAGACAUUCAUAUAAAAAUAUCUGCAGCAUCAGCAAACACAUCAGCCUCAAAGAUUAUGUGCUGGAAUGUUUACUAACAAUAAAAAGGGCAAAUGAACAACAGCUGUGUCCACCUUGGCCACCACCAGAAUCCGAUGGAGUGAAUGCAACACUUCCCAAAUUGUCACUCUGCACCUCAUGUUGAAACGUGCUGUAUGGUCUUCAACUUGGUGGAGGAAUAGAUCUGUGGACUGCAUUUUGUUGUUUGACCAACUUCUUGCAUGCCACACAGGUUUGCUUGAUCAGGGCUACCAAGGCCGCACAACAAUGCUAUUUGUGUUAAGAAUAAAGCCCUAUCCUAGCAGCAGACUAUCUGCCUGACGUGCUACACUACUCCAUCACCAUACAGCCAUUGUCACACCAUUACAGCAGCACUUACAAUGGAUCUUUCUACAACAAUACAUCUGUCAAUUCUCACUGAAUAACCAAUGAUAUAAUUAUUAAAGAGUGGUCCACUGUGUCUUGACCAUAGACCUUACCUACCAUGUGGAAGAAGAGAGAAGUCCAGGAACAUAUGUAGCAGACAU